AAAUUUCCAAGGAAACUAUAUUUCAUACAUUGAUGGAAAUGUAUGGAAAGCAUACAGUUGGACCGAGAAACUAAUUCUCAGUGAAAAUUAUUUGACUGAAUUACAUAAGGAUUCAUUUGAAGGCCUGCUAUCCCUCCAGUAUUUAUAAAUUUAUCCUGCAAUAAAAUACGAUAUAUUGAAAGACAUACAUUUGAAUCACUACCAUUUUUGCAGUAUAUAAAUCUGGGCUGCAAUUUAAUUACAGAACUGAGCCUUGGAACAUUUCAGGCCUGGCACGGAAUGCAGUUUUUACACAACUUGAGGCAUGAGGAGGUGAGAGAUGGAAAGAAUGCUGUCUGUCAUUUGGAGUCAGAAGGAAAAGAAGGUUGAGGGUCUGCCAGCUCUGCUCUAGUGGUUUUUUCCUGUUUCACCUUUUACAAAAUCGAGAUAAUCGUUUCUACUUGGUAGCGAUAUUGUGAGGUGUAAAAUGGAUUAAUACAUGCAAAAUGCUUAAAGCAACUUCUGGC
rnacentral:lncRNA from 1 species